rnacentral:pre_miRNA from 1 species
AGUAGAAUAGUUGGGUCACAUGGUAACUCCAUGUUUAACUUUUUGAGGAACUGCCAAACUGUUUUCCAAAGUGGCUAUACCAUUUUAUAUUCCCACCAGCAAU